UACGUAGGGUGCAAGCGUUAAUCGGAAUUACUGGGCGUAAAGCGUGCGCAGGCGGAUAGUUUAGUCAGAGGUGAAAGCCCAGGGCUCAACCUUGGAAUUGCCUUUGAUACUGGCUAUCUUGAGUGUGGGAGAGGUAUGUGGAACUCCGAGUGUAGAGGUGAAAUUCGUAGAUAUUCGGAAGAACACCAGUGGCGAAGGCGACAUACUGGCCCAUUACUGACGCUGAGGCUCGAAAGCGUGGGGAGCAAACAGG
rnacentral:rRNA from 1 species